GGUUACUCUUUUUUUAGA
rnacentral:tRNA from 1 species